rnacentral:rRNA from 1 species
AGUGGGGAAUAUUGGACAAUGGGCGCAAGCCUGAUCCAGCAAUACCGCGUGUGUGAAGAAGGCCUGAGGGUUGUAAAGCACUUUCAAUAGUGAGGAAUACCUGGAUAUUAAUAGUAUCCAGACUGACAUUAACUAUAGAAGAAGCACCGGCUAACUCCGUGCCAGCAGCCGCGGUAAUACGGAGGGUGCAAGCGUUAAUCGGAAUUACUGGGCGUAAAGCGUACGUAGGCGGUUCGUUAAGUUAGAUGUGAAAGCCCCGGGCUUAACCUGGGAACUGCAUUUAAAACUGGCGAACUAGAGUUGAGUAGAGGGGAGUGGAAUUUCAGGUGUAGCGGUGAAAUGCGUAGAGAUCUGAAGGAACACCAGUGGCGAAGGCGACUCCCUGGACUCAAACUGACGCUGAGGUACGAAAGCGUGGGUAGCAAACGGGAUUAGAUACCCCGGUAGUCCACGCCGUAAACGAUGUCAACUAACUGUUGGAACCUUAAAGGUUUUAGUGGUGGAGCU